AAAGAGUACUGAAAUCGUGGAAUUCUCAAUCACAGAAGGCUGUGGUAGCCAGAUGAUGGAAUACAUUCAAGAAAGUGACAGAUCAUUUCUAAAAUUAUAAAGGCAUGAAGGGGAAGGGAGAUAAAGGAGGAAUAUUACAUUGAUGUGGAAAUCAGCAAUGGGUUAUCAGCAGCAACAGGAAUAUCAAAGACUACACAGAUCACCAUCAGUGCGCGUGGUCCAACUACAGUACUAAGUACACCGGUUUCUUCUGCAACCAUCCGUACAGGUAAGUAAAGCUCA